CAUGGCAUCCUCAACACACCCAGAUUUGUUUGAUUUUGGAAACCAAGCAGGGCUGGGUCCAGUUAGUACUUGAAUGGGUAACCAUGAAGUGAGACCUUUGAUCUCCAUGC
rnacentral:rRNA from 1 species